UACGGAGGGUGCAAACGUUGCUCGGAAUCAUUGGGCGUAGAGCGCGCGUAGGCGGCGAAGCAAGUUGGAUGUGAAAGCCCUGGGCUCAACCUAGGAUGUGCAUACAAAACUGCUUCGCUUGAAUCUCGGAGGGGGUCAGGGAAUUCCCGGUGUAGAGGUGAAAUUCGUAGAUAUCGGGAGGAACACCAGUGGCGAAGGCGCUGACCUGGACGAUGAUUGACGCUGAGGCGCGAAAGCGUGGGGAGCAAACAGG
rnacentral:rRNA from 1 species